rnacentral:rRNA from 1 species
CGCUGGCGGCGUGCCUAAUACAUGCAAGUCGAGCGGAUCUUCAUUAGCUUGCUUUUGAAGAUCAGCGGCGGACGGGUGAGUAACACGUGGGNCAACCUGCCUGUAAGACUGGGAUAACUUCGGGAAACCGGAGCUAAUACCGGAUAAUCCUUUCCCUCACAUGAGGGAAAGCUGAAAGACGGUUUCGGCUGUCACUUACAGAUGGGCCCGCGGCGCAUUAGCUAGUUGGUGAGGUAACGGCUCACCAAGGCAACGAUGCGUAGCCGACCUGAGAGGGUGAUCGGCCACACUGGGACUGAGACACGGCCCAGACUCCUACGGGAGGCAGCAGUAGGGAAUCUUCCGCAAUGGACGAAAGUCUGACGGAGCAACGCCGCGUGAACGAUGAAGGCCUUCGGGUCGUAAAGUUCUGUUGUCAGGGAAGAACAAGUACCGGAGUAACUGCCGGUACCUUGACGGUACCUGACCAGAAAGCCACGGCUAACUACGUGCCAGCAGCCGCGGUAAUAC